AACGCCGCGUGAGCGAAGAAGGUCUUCGGAUCGUAAAACUCUGUUGUUAGAGAAGAACACGGGUGAGAGUAACUGUUCACCUGUUGACGGUAUCUAACCAGCAAGUCACGGCUAACUACGUGCCAGCAGCCGCGGUAAUACGUAGGUGGCAAGCGUUAUCCGGAUUUAUUGGGCGUAAAGGGAACGCAGGCGGUUCUUUAAGUCUGAUGUGAAAGCCUUCGGCUUAACCGAAGAUGUGCAUUGGAAACUGGGGAACUUGAGUGCAGAAGAGGAGAGUGGAACUCCAUGUGUAGCGGUGAAAUGCGUAGAUAUAUGGAAGAACACCAGUGGCGAAAGCGGCUCUCUGGUCUGUAACUGACGCUGAGGUUCGAAAGCGUGGGUAGCGAACAGGAUUAGAUACCCUGGUAGUCCACGCCGUAAACGAUGAAUGCUAGGUGUUGGAGGGUUUCCGCCCUUCAGUGCCGCAGCUAACGCACUAAGCAUUCCGCCUGGGGAGUACGACCGCAAGGUUGAAACUCAAAGGAAUUGACGGGGGCCCGCACAAGCGGUGGAGCAUGUGGUUUAAUUCGAAGCUACGCGAAGAACCUUACCAGGUCUUGACAUCUUUUGACCACCUAAGAGAUUAGGUUUUCCCUUCGGGGACAAAAUGACAGGUGGUGCAUGGUUGUCGUCAGCU
rnacentral:rRNA from 1 species